rnacentral:rRNA from 1 species
GUUAGGAAUAUUCCGCAAUGGGCGAAAGCCUGACGGAGCAAUGCCGCGUGAAGGAUGAAGGCCUAUGGGUUGUAAACUUCUUUUCUCAGAAAAGAAUUAUGACGGUAUCUGAGGAAUAAGCAUCGGCUAACUCUGUGCCAGCAGCCGCGGUAAGACAGAGGAUGCAAGCGUUAUCCGGAAUGAUUGGGCGUAAAGCGUCUGUAGGUUGUUUAAAAAGUAUUCUGUCAAAGAUUAGGGCUUAACCCUAGAUAGGCAGAAUAAACUUUUAAGCUAGAGUUUGGUAGAGGCAGAGGGAAUUCCCGGUGGAGCGGUGAAAUGCGUAGAUAUCGGGAGGAACACCAAAGGCGAAGGCACUCUGCUGGGCCAAUACUAACACUGAGAGACGAAAGCGAGGGGAGCAAAUGGGAUUAGAUACCCUAGUAGUCC